rnacentral:lncRNA from 1 species
AAGUGAUAUGGAUAAUAUGGUUAUAUAUUGUCUGCCAGUCAUCCCGUCUCAUAUCCCGACCCGCCCGUUUGCCGCCCCUAUUGUAGGUGAGGUGCUGACCAACCCCUCUUGUCACAAUGCUGUGUGUUGGAAGUAACCGCAACAACAGGUAUAUAUCAUCAUCAACAACAACAACAACCCAGUGUAAUCCCACAAGUGGGGUCUGGGAAGGGUAAUAUGUACGCAGACCUUACCUCUACCCCGAGGGGCAGAGAGGCUGUUUCCAGGAGACCCUCGGCUCAAGAAGGCAACAAAAGACACUAUAUUAGUACUAUCAAUAGACUCAUAAUAAAAUAAUAUACAAUACCAUAAAAUCCAUAAAACAGGUAUAUAUCAUCAUUAACUUUAAUCAAGCAUACAUUUGGAUUGUUGGUCCUUAAAUUUUUUAAAACAGCAAACAAGAAAAAUGAUUGAAAAUUUCACUAGACUGGAGUUAAACCGUAUCACUAACUCCUGUUUCUGGGCCACAGUAAAAUUGUUAUAACGUUGACAUAUCACGUGAUCCAGGUCCCAUUUCCUAAUACCUACCAAGAACAAAUAGUUCAACCCAAUCAUCAGCAACAUUGCUGCUUCAAAAAGGUAAAAUAACAUCAACCCCACAUGUCGUGUCAAGUUCUUCUAUCUCAUCUUUUUUAUCUCAAGCCUUUAUUUUGAUGCGGGCCCCUAUAGUUUCACCUACAGACCUACUCACCUACUCCUUUCCUAACUUUCUUCUUUUUCCUUCCAAGUUUCGGUAAGGUUCCGGUUAGACGGUUACAUCUUACAUCUAACUCUCUCUAUUUGUUGUAGUAAAAAAUAAUAGCACUAUCUUAAUUUAUGUGAUACUAUUUGCCUAUUAAGAUUCAAAUUUUUUAUUUGACUGUAAAUUUGAACAUAAUUUUAAAUUUUUAAAAAUAAAAUUUACAUACUUAGAAAUUAUAUAAAAAAUAUUAUAAGUCACAAUAAUUAAUAUUUAAAAGAUAUAUUUUAAAAAAUCACGAUAAAAAAAAUUCAUUUAAUUCUCGAACAUUUCACAUGGGACGAGGGAGUAUAAAUAUAGAUCGUCAUCUUACCGUCAAUUACAUUGGGAAAGUUCAAUGGUUCAGAUAUUGUUACAUAUGUGUGCAAGGCUCAGGGAAUAAUAUUUAAUAUAUUUUGUGAGCGGAAAUUCCUAUGAUGCACCGUUAAGAGACAAUUAGGGAUAUUAGUGGGUGAGACGUCCUUAUCCGAUAAGCCUUCCACUUCAGCACGCAGCAUUUUAAGAGUUAUUAUUUGUACUAUUAAGCAACAAGGAAAGGAAAACGUGAGUUAUCAAAGAAUAAGAUUUUAUUGGGUAUGUUGUUGGGUAAAUGUUUAUCACGUCA